GAUGAACGCUGGCGGCGUGCUUAACACAUGCAAGUCGAACGAAGCACUUUAUUUGAUUUCCUUCGGGACUGAUUAUUUUGUGACUGAGUGGCGGACGGGUGAGUAACGCGUGGGUAACCUGCCUUGUACAGGGGGAUAACAGUUGGAAACGGCUGCUAAUACCGCAUAAGCGCACAGCAUCGCAUGAUGCAGUGUGAAAAACUCCGGUGGUAUAAGAUGGACCCGCGUUGGAUUAGCUAGUUGGUGAGGUAACGGCCCACCAAGGCGACGAUCCAUAGCCGACCUGGGAGGGGGACCGGCCACAUUGGGAAUGAGACACGGCCCAAACUCCUACGGGAGGCAGCAGUGGGGAAUAUUGCACAAUGGGCGAAAGCCUGAUGCAGCGACGCCGCGUGAGCGAAGAAGUAUUUCGGUAUGUAAAGCUCUAUCAGCAGGGAAGAUAAUGACGGUACCUGACUAAGAAGCACCGGCUAAAUACGUG
rnacentral:rRNA from 1 species